AACGAACGCUGGCGGCAUGCCUAACACAUGCCAGUCGAACGAGACCUUCGGGUCUAGUGGCGCACGGGUGCGUAACGCGUGGGAAUCUGCCUUUAGGUUCGGAAUAACUCAGAGAAAUUUGAGCUAAUACCGGAUGAUGUCUUCGGACCAAAGAUUUAUCGCCUUUAGAUGGGCCCGCGUUGGAUUAGCUAGUUGGUGGGGUAAAGGCCUACCAAGGCGACGAUCCAUAGCUGGUCUGAGAGGAUGAUCAGCCACACUGGGACUGAGACACGGCCCAGACUCCUACGGGAGGCAGCAGUGGGGAAUAUUGGACAAUGGGCGAAAGCCUGAUCCAGCAAUGCCGCGUGAGUGAUGAAGGCCUUAGGGUUGUAAAGCUCUUUUACCCGAGAUGAUAAUGACAGUAUCGGGAGAAUAAGCUCCGGCUAACUCCGUG
rnacentral:rRNA from 1 species